rnacentral:rRNA from 1 species
UUGCAUGGCUGUCGUCAGCUCGUGUCGUGAGAUGUUCGGUUAAGUCCGCUAACGAGCGCAACCCUCGCUGUGUGUUAUAUGUGUCACACAGGACUGCUGGUAUUAAGCCGGAGGAAGGUGGGGACGACGUCAAGUCAGCAUGACCUUUAUAUCCAGGGCUACACACACGCUACAAUGGUCAGUACAAUGGGUUGCCAAGCCGCGAGGCGGAGCCAAUCCUAAAAAGCUGGCCCCAGUUCAGAUUGCAGUCUGAAACUCGACUGCAUGAAGUCGGAGUUGCUAGUAAACGCAGGUCAGCUAUACUGCGUUGAAUACGUUCCCGGGGCUU